rnacentral:pre_miRNA from 1 species
GUUGUACUUCCUCCGUUCAACAAAAGAUGUCUCAGGUUUGCCAAAAUUUGGAUGUAUCUAGACAUGACUUAGAGUAAAGAUGCAUUCAAAUUUAAUCAAAGUUGAGAUAUUGUUGGACGGAGAAAGUACUAG